rnacentral:lncRNA from 10 species
AAGCAACAGUGACCAAGUACCGAGCGCUUACCGUGUGCUGGGCCCUGUGCCAAGUCAGGACUUGCUGGGCCUCACGGAACCUUCCGGCGCCCGGGCAAGGCCAGCACUGUUACCAACUGUCUCGCGGACUGCUCCUAACUGGGGGCUCUGUUAGCAUCCAGGAGUCUCCUCCUCGGAUACUCUGAGUACCCCCUCCAGAGACCCCAGGCACCGGAUUCUCUGUACGGGGCCGCUGACGUGCCCAGCCCUGGUGAACCCACCCUUCCAGACACUUCCACCCACGCCCGGCCCUGGGGCUGGGGGCGUCGGGCAGAGCGCCGGUGAAAUUCUGCCAGUGGCUAAGGCGCCUACUGUGCCCCUGGCUCUGCGAGGGUCGGGGGACUGUCACCAGGCCCAAAGUCGCCAGGGAGGAGGGGCGUGAAUGACGAAGCUCAGAUCCGG